UACGGAGGGUGCAAGCGUUAUCCGGAUUCACUGGGUUUAAAGGGUGCGUAGGCGGACAGGUAAGUCAGUGGUGAAAUCUCCGAGCUUAACUCGGAAACUGCCUUUGAUACUCUCUGUCUUGAAUAUGGUGGAGGUAAGCGGAAUAUGUCAUGUAGCGGUGAAAUGCUUAGAGAUGACAUAGAACACCUAUUGCGAAGGCAGCUCACUACACGAAUAUUGACACUGAGGCACGAAAGCGUGGGGAUCAAACAGG
rnacentral:rRNA from 1 species